rnacentral:lncRNA from 1 species
UGUGUCUUCAUGACUGUCAAUGACUCUACGAUGGUGUCACUGGGAGUCUGGCCCGUGUCUGUGGGAAGUCCUCCUGACUGCAAGUAGCACCUAAGUGGGUAGAGGGCCAGGCUGGGUGGGCAUCCUGCUUUCCUUCUGAAGAACUAUGAGCAUCACUGAGGACCAGAAGCAGAGCUUGAGCCACACCACCUCCAGGAAGCCCUCUUAGCUAUGCAAGGAGAGAAUCUCUCCAGACCCUUGGAUUUCAGCUGCUUCUGGCAUCCAUAGGAGCACCUGACAGCUGGGACGGUUUGGAACUUUGGGAUCCUUGAAGGACCCCGUGGCCUAGCAGAUGAGCACCCUGCCUGCGGCUGCAGGGCAAUGUCACAGAGAACCCCUAGGGGGAAGCACUCAGGCACAAGUCUCAGUGAGAUUCUCAGCGGCAGGGCUGUGCAUGCAUCCGGGGACACCAUCUCCUGUUUCUCACAUAAAGAUUACGGCACAGGCAAAGAUAAGGAACAUUUUCCUAACAGUAAGAAGGCUUUGAAUCCAAGAAAGCAACAAACCAGAGCAGACUCAUUUGAAACAUGAACAGAGUGAUGUGGCCAAAGGAAUCCAAGCCAGGUUUCACCAGGUUCCUAUUGUGAACACACUGGAUGUUUAUAUGAGAAUCCCAGUGUAUAGCAAUCAUAACUAGAUAAUAAUUAUGCUUAAGAUUUGGUCCUCUUUCCAUAUAUGGAUUCAGUCCUUUUCUGUCAUUUUGUCAUUUUCAUGGAAUCUGGAGUUACGGAACCAUCCAAUGUUUAUUACAGAGAAUGACCACCCAUAAGCCUCUCCAUGCUUAUGGAAGCAACAGUUCUGGGGCCGCUGGCUGCAUAUUCCUUCCAGGUGUUUAUUUCUGGGUCUACAUCAUGUCCCUCACUCAUCAAUUUAACUCUAUCCAGAGAAUUCCUCUAUGGUCUUCAUCAGAUUAGGAAGUAAAUCAUCAGUCACUUCAAAUAUUUCAAGCUUGGUUUUCUUUGACAUAAAUCAGUUCUCCUGACUACAAUUCCUGGAAAAUAUUGUAGAGCCCAGCAGCAUUGCAGUAUUUCAACCUUCAUUUGAGUUGCCUGUGACCCAGAUGUGAGCUAGUGCUUCCACAGUCUCAGAUGUCUGGGUGAAUCCACCAAUUCUACACCUGUGAACAUCCCUGCCUUUGAUUCUUUCUAAUUGUCAGGAAACUUGCACUCAUAAUCCCUCCUGCCUCUGGC